rnacentral:rRNA from 1 species
UACGGGGGGGCAAGCGUUGUUCGGAAUUACUGGGCGUAAAGGGCUCGUAGGCGGCCAACUAAGUCGGACGUGAAAUCCCCAGGCUCAACCUGGGAACUGCGUCCGAUACUGGAUGGCUUGAAUUCGGGAGAGGGAUGCAGAAUUCCAGGUGUAGCGGUGAAAUGCGUAGAUAUCUGGAGGAAUACCGGUGGCGAAGGCGGCAUCCUGGACCGACAUUGACGCUGAUGAGCGAAAGCCAGGGGAGCAAACGGG